rnacentral:tRNA from 1 species
GGGGAGGUAGCUCAGUUGGUAGAGCAACGGUCUCCAAAACCGUAGGUCGCAGGUUCAAGCCCUGUCCGCCCCG